rnacentral:RNase_P_RNA from 1 species
GGAGUCGGCCAGGCAAUCGCUGCACGCAUGCGUGUGGAGGAAAGUCCGGGCUCCAUUGGGCAGGGUGCCAGGUAACGCCUGGGCGGCGCGAGCCGACGGCCAGUGCAACAGAGAACAGACCGCCGAUGGCCCACCAUGUGGUGCACAGGUAAGGGUGAAACGGUGCGGUAAGAGCGCACCGCGCGACCGGCAACGGAAGCGGCACGGUAAACCCCACCCGGAGCAAGGCCAAAUAGGGGAACAACAGGCGUGGCCCGCGUCGUUCCCGGGUAGGCUGCUUGAGGUCCGCGGUGACGCGGAUCCCAGAGGAAUGAUUGCCCACGACAGAACCCGGCUUAUCGGCCGACUCCCUCU